AUUCCCAUAGGAGGCCGCAUCGGCAUCCCCUGGUUCAUCCCCAUCCCCAUGUUCAUUCCUCCCAUCGGUUGUUGGUUCAUCCCCAUCCCCAUUCCCAUCGGUUGUUGGUUCAUCCCCAUCCCCAUUCCCAUCUGUUGUUGGUUCAUUCCCAUUCCCAUCCCCAUCCCCAUCCCCAUGCCCAUUGGCCGAUUCAUCCCCAUGCCACCACCAUAACCAGCACCAGUGCCCAUACCCAUGCCCAUGGGCCUGCCUGCACCCAUUGGGUUGGGAGGGGGUGCCAUUGAACCAGCACCAGACCGGCCAAUGCCGGAACCAGCUCCCAUGGCUUUGCCCAUGGUGACUGUAGACACCACAGGUGCUUGGUUUAUUUUCUUUUCUUGCCUUUUCUCCUUGCGAUUGAUUGAAUCAAAGUCAACUCCAAUAUCGGCAUG
rnacentral:lncRNA from 1 species